GAUCCUGGCUCAGGACGAACGCUGGCGGCGCGCUUAACACAUGCAAGUCGAGCGAUGAAAUCUUAACAGAACCCUUCGGGGCGAAGAUAAGACGGAUUAGCGGCGGACGGGUGAGUAACACGUGAGUAACCUGCCUUUUACACAGGGAUAGCCUCGGGAAACCGGGAUUAAAACCUGAUGAAACUAUCAAAUCACAUGAUUAAGAAAGUUAAAACUCCGGUGGUAAAAGAUGGACUCGCGUCCCAUUAGCUAGUUGGUGAAGGUAACGG
rnacentral:rRNA from 1 species